rnacentral:miRNA from 8 species
CAACAAAUCACGGUCUGCCCUA